rnacentral:rRNA from 1 species
UACGAAGGGGGCUAGCGUUGCUCGGAUUUACUGGGCGUAAAGGGCGCGUAGGCGGAUCAGCAAGUUAGGGGUGAAAGCCCGGGGCUCAACCUCGGAACUGCCCUUAAAACUGUUGAUCUGGAGUAUGAGAGAGGUGUGUGGAACUCCGAGUGUAGAGGUGAAAUUCGUAGAUAUUCGGAAGAACACCAGUGGCGAAGGCGACACACUGGCUCAUUACUGACGCUGAGGCGCGAAAGCGUGGGGAGCAAACAGG